GACAGGUAGACGUGGUGGUGUGAGAUAGACGUGGUGGUAUUAGAUAGACAGGUAGACGUGGUGGUAUUAGAUAGACGUGGUGGUAUUAGAUAGACAGGUAGACGUGGUGGUAUUAGAUAGACAGGUAGACGUGGUGGUAUUAGAUGGACAGGUAGACAUGGUGGUAUUAGAUAGACGUGGUGGUAUUAGAUAGACAGGUAGACGUGGUGGUAUUAGAUGGACAGGUAGACAUGGUGGUAUUAGAUGGACAGGUAGACAUGGUGGUAUUAGAUGGACAGGUAGACAUGGUGGUAUUAGAUGGACAGGUAGACAUGGUGGUAUUAGAUGGACAGGUAGACAUGGUGGUAUUAGAUGGACAGGUAGACAUGGUGGUAUUAGAUGGACAGGUAGACAUGGUGGUAUUAGAUGGACAGGUAGACAUGGUGGUAUUAGAUGGACAGGUAGACAUGGUGGUAUUAGAUGGACAGGUAGACAUGGUGGUAUUAGAUGGACAGGUAGACGUGGUGGUAUUAGAUGGACAGGUAGACGUGGUGGUAUUAGAUGGACAGGUAGACAUGGUGGUAUUAGAUGGACAGGUAGACGUGGUGGUAUUAGAUGGACAGGUAGACGUGGUGGUAUUAGAUGGACAGGUAGACGUGGUGGUAUUAGAUAGACGUGGUGGUAUUAGAUAGACGUGGUGGUAUUAGAUAGACAGGUAGACGUGGUGGUAUUAGAUGGACAGGUAGACGUGGUGGUAUUAGAUGGACAGGUAGACGUGGUGGUAUUAGAUGGACAGGUAGACGUGGUGGUAUUAGAUGGACAGGUAGACGUGGUGGUAUUAGAUGGACAGGUAGACGUGGUGGUAUUAGAUGGACAGGUAGACGUGGUGGUAUUAGAUGGACAGGUAGACGUGGUGGUAUUAGAUGGACAGGUAGACGUGGUGGUAUUAGAUGGACAGGUAGACGUGGUGGUAUUAGAUGGACAGGUAGACGUGGUGGUAUUAGAUAGACAGGUAGACGUGGUGGUAUUAGAUAGACGUGGUGGUAUUAGAUAGACAGGUAGACGUGGUGGUAUUAGAUGGACAGGUAGACGUGGUGGUAUUAGAUAGACGUGGUGGUAUUAGAUAGACAGGUAGACGUGGUGGUAUUAGAUGGACAGGUAGACGUGGUGGUAUUAGAUAGACAGGUAGACGUGGUGGUAUUAGAUAGACAGGUAGACGUGGUGGUAUUAGAUGGACAGGUAGACGUGGUGGUAUUAGAUGGACAGGUAGACGUGGUGGUAUUAGAUGGACAGGUAGACGUGGUGGUAUUAGAUGGACAGGUAGACGUGGUGGUAUUAGAUGGACAGGUAGACGUGGUGGUAUUAGAUGGACAGGUAGACGUGGUGGUAUUAGAUAGACAGGUAGACGUGGUGGUAUUAGAUAGACAGGUAGACGUGGUGGUAUUAGAUAGACAGGUAGACGUGGUGGUAUUAGAUGGACAGGUAGACGUGGUGGUAUUAGAUGGACAGGUAGACGUGGUGGUAUUAGAUGGACAGGUAGACGUGGUGGUAUUAGAUGGACAGGUAGACGUGGUGGUAUUAGAUAGACAGGUAGACGUGGUGGUAUUAGAUGGACAGGUAGACGUGGUGGUAUUAGAUGGACAGGUAGACGUGGUGGUAUUAGAUGGACAGGUAGACGUGGUGGUAUUAGAUAGACAGGUAGACGUGGUGGUAUUAGAUAG